CGGAAGGGGCGGCGGAGCACCGAUCUCAUGGAUGGGCUCCGAGGGGCUUGCGGGAGGGGGGCGCCAGUGUUCGGGGCCGUUUUGGCGGCUAUGCAGGAUUGGCAGGAGCUGCGAUGCUCACACUUGCCUCGCCGACCGCCAUUUCACAUCCAGCAGAGGAGGCGGGGGCAGCCGCUGAGACGGUUUUUCACAAGGCUGCGUCCCGGGCACGCGCAAGUACAUGUGCAUUUUAGUGGUUACCAGGUUGCCACGUAUUUGAAGUGGUGUGAGAGCUACUCGUUUGGAACCGUUGUGGAUUUUCAAAUAGGAAAAUCAAAAGGCCCAAAGAGACAGCUCACUGGUGACCAUGCUUUGGGAUUUUCAUAGUUUGAGUAAUUCCUAUGGGCUCUACCACCCAGCGAGUUAAAGAAGACAAGAUUCCACCCCCAGGGGGUUGUGGUUCUGGGAAUGUGAGCAGCUUGUUUUCAGGAGAUCUGCAUCUUGAUCUGGCCUGCUAUUAGGAUCUGUGGUGGUGGUGCCUGUCUGGUUUUAGUUGUUUCUUUUAUCUUACACAGAUUUUUGUAAGUUAUUUGCAUAUAAAGGUUUUUGAAAAGUGAAUGUUUUAUGGGGGCAUCUUGCUUAUACAAAGAAAAAUUAAAACUGUUUUAAAAUAAAAAAAAAAAAAAAAAAAAAAAAAAAAAAAAAAAAAAAAAAAAAAAAAAAAAAAAAAAAAAAAAAAAAAAAAAAAAAAAAAAAAA
rnacentral:antisense_RNA from 1 species